rnacentral:rRNA from 1 species
UACGGGGGGGGCAAGCGUUGUUCGGAAUUACUGGGCGUAAAGGGCUCGUAGGCGGCCAACUAAGUCAGACGUGAAAUCCCUCGGCUUAACCGGGGAACUGCGUCUGAUACUGGAUGGCUUGAGUUUGGGAGAGGGAUGCGGAAUUCCAGGUGUAGCGGUGAAAUGCGUAGAGUAUCUGGAGGAACACCGGUGGCGAAGGCGGCGAUCCUGGACCAACACUGACGCUGAGUGAGCGAAAGCCAGGGGAGCAAACGGG